rnacentral:misc_RNA from 1 species
AUUAAAUCCAAGAUAUCAACUGAUAACUCGGGCCUUAUGUCUAAGAGAGUUAUAAUGUCAUAUCCAAAGAACUCUCAUUUUUGCAAUUGAAAAAAAUUAAAUAAAUAAAAAACAGCAUUUGUUAGUUCCACAGCAUAGCUGUAACAACUAACUCAUUUACAACUCCUAGUUCAUAUUUCCUCAACUUUGAUGCGGGAAACCAUUAUAUGAACUCAAAAAAAAAAGGGGAGUAGGGAAAUUUAUUGAUACAGAAUUAUCAUAACAACAAAAUGACUCCAAGUCACUAGGUGCAGAAGCAAACAAAGAAAGCACGCCAAAACCCAUUUACCUGUGGAGACCCUCUACACCAAAAUAAGGGUUCUAACAAGCACUCGAAAGAAACAAACUCAGCGAGGGAAGACCCCAUGUACAUCAACCUUGGUUCUCUUAAGAACUAUCAACAAUAUGGUGUGCAGCUACUAAUACAAUCUGUGCCUGAUUUUUAGCACCACGCAGGGAGGCUUUAUCAACUAUCACUCCACUCUCUUCUGCUUUUUGUAUGUUAUAACCCCUAUCAUUGAAUAACUGCAGAGUACAGCAAGGCACCUCUCCAUGCAGAAAUUGCAUAGCAAUCACUCUCAACAUUAGAGAUUUGAACUCCGAUGCGUGUCCAAUUUCAACCUAACAAAUCUUUAAAUAAGUUGGGAUUUUGACUUGAUGGGGUCACACCCAUCUGCCUAACAAGUGCAUCCUUUUCCAAUGAAUCUUUAAGAUUUGGACCUUUACUAAAUUGCGAGGGGUGUGCAGCUGCAGUUAUAUUGUGAGCAGAGUCCGUGGUAGCAUUUGCCAAUCCAGAUACAAGAUUGUCAUCACUCCUAUUAGAUGACGAAGGAUACAUGAAACCACCACUCUGCCCACUUGCAGGUUUGUCUGAAUAUAAUUGCAUAAUAUCAGGUGCGCUAGUGGAACCAACAAUGCCAGGAUUAGCACUUGAACCAAGUUGGGUUGGGUCAAGCAGCUCUUCCAAUUGCUUAAAUGGAUCAACCGAUGAAGGACCAUCUUUAAUGGUUGGUUCACCCAGGUCAAGCAAGUCUGGAGGGGGUUGAACAGGAGUUGUUUUCUCUACUAAAACAUCAGUGGUAGAUCCAGCUGUUGACUUUAAAACAUGGCUGCUUCCCUUAGGAACCUUGUGGCCUGUUGAAGACGCCCUUCUCUCAGAUUUUGAUGUACCUCCAAAAAGAGAUGCAGCAAGCUUCUGCUUUUCAGGAGAGAUUUCAACUUGUGUCUUCUUCAAGUCAUAAGAAGCCUCACGUGCUUUUGAAUUCACAUUGCUUGACCCAUCAACAGGAGUAACCUCAUACACAGUAUUCUGUGAGCUGGAAUUUGAUGUAGAGGCUGCAGAAGAUGAGUAAGUUGGCCUACCCCACUUCUUCUGGACUCCAUCAAGUCGUAGCUUGACUUCUGAUGAUCCAGUAUCAGAUGAAGACGGCACAGUAGCUGCCUGUUGUACCUCCCUAUGAUAAGAUGGCUCAGGAACUGGAACAAGUUCGGUUGAUGAUGCAAGUGAUACUGGAGUUGUCCUAGACGGCACCGAGGGCUUCGGAAGCUCAUAAGCCUCAAACCUAAGACCAUGAGUUGAAGCUUCAUGCUGAUCUUGGCUUCGGAAAUUGCUGAUAUCUAACAUCCCAGAACGUUCACUCUCCGGGAUAUAAGGCUGAGCCCCUUUUUCUAGUGACUGUUGAACGUAAUCAUUAAGGAAAGAGAGGUUUUUAUCAAUCUCAAUAUCUUCACAACUUGCAUCUGAUGGCAGAAUACAUUCAACGGCAUGAGCAUCCAAGCCAAUGAUUGCUUGAAGUUCAUAUACACGCUGCUGCAAGUCUGUUGAGUGGGAAGCUGAUAAUUCCUCAAUCAAAGAUUGACACUGCAAGACACAAAGUAAGGUUUACUGAAUUGCUCUUUACUGCGAGAUACAAAGUAAGAUUUACUGAAUUGCUCCUCCAUGAAAUCAGGACAUGAUAAUGAUACCAUUGACCAUGCAACAGAUAUCAGUAGCUGAGAAAGCUUGCAACUUCCAAGAAGAGAAAUAAAUUAUAGUAAAAUAUAUCUAAAAGUACACUCAAUAUAUAUAAUAUAUUGCAUUUUAUACUAUAGAAGAAUGCAUAAAUUACAUUAUUAGCAUGUUGAGGAAAAACUAUAAUGAUCUAAUUCAACAACUGAAGAAAACAAAGCUGUACAAAUUAUCAAUCGAAGCCAAACCGCACCACUCCCCCCACCCCACAAACAGGUCAAAAUUUGAUCAAAUUCACAUCCAGAAUCACAGGCCAAAAGAAACUUGGAAAAAGGGGCGACUCAGUGCAACAAGAAUCCCACAAUUGCGGGCUCUGAGGAUGGUUAAUCUACACAGCCUUACCCCUGCAUAGCAAAGAAGCUGUUUCCGUGGCUCAAACCCAUAACUUCCGGGUCAUAAAUGUAGUAACUUUACUAUUACACCAAAAGAACAUUGAAAUUACAUAAAAAUUAACACACAAAAGUGCUCAUGAAAAAUAGAAGAGUUGCCUAUCUGAAGUCUCCAAAAAUUAAAAUCAUGAGGACAACAAGAACACAAGCAAACUCCAGUUUAAAGACUCAAGAAACUUAGAAUUAUGGUCAGGAUAUUGUACAGCUGUCAUUUGGGAAAUUGAUUACUUUUUCUCAACAGGUUGUGCAUCAGGCAGUUCAGUUUGGUUGAAAAUUCAUUGAAAUGAAUUUAACCUAAGCUGAAUUUGAUACAGUUUUGUUUGUUUUGUUAAUGAAUUCAGUUACAGGACUAGAGAAGAGAAUCGUAAUUUAGCCCUAGACAAAUAAAACAGAAAAUUAAAUUUAUACAUACAUUAUAAUUGAUAUAUUCAAUCAUACAAAUAAUAUAACAUAAUCAUUGAUCUAAAAAUAUAUUGUAGUUUUAAAGAAAAAAAAUACUACAACAAUUAAAAUAAGAUGUAAAAAAAUUAACUUCUUUUUCAAAAAUUUUUGAAUGAUUCAAAUCCAAUAAAUGAAGCCUCUUGAAGUCCAAAUAACAGCAUAUUGCUGCUUAAAUAAAAAUUUACUUGAAGAAAUGCGGAGCACACAAGUACAGAAAAGCAGAGAACUCAAGAAACAGAGGCUGGGUUGCAUAAAAUGAAAUAGUUCUCUUCGCUUCUGAUUGUCAAUAACUGAACAAACCUAAUAUCAUAACCCUUAUUUUAGGGAAAUUGUUCUUCACAUUAUACCAAGGACAUCAUUGAGCUUCUCACUUCAUAUGGGCAAAUUUCCAACACAUUCCAACACACAUCAUGUUGGAUAGGAGUAGGACAACUGUGAUUGCUAAAUAUGGUAUCCCCAGAGGCAAAAUCCAUUGCAAUCUGGCCAAUACAGGACAGGACAGGACAGAGCAUUUUUAAAAUCCAGCCUAGAAAAGAAAACUCUUAUAGGCACAUAAAUUUCCCUUGGAAACCAAUAAACAUCCACUAAACCCAACAAAAUCAUACUUAACGGGGAAAAAAAGCAUCAAUCUACCCAAUUAACAAAAUUGAGCAAAAUUAGAUUCACAGGAACAAUGCAACAAUGGUUUACAUAAAACCUUCCACAAAUGGUUUACAUGAACUACAAUAUUGGGGGGGAAAAGAAACUGCUUGAAGUAUCUUGAACUGGCAAAAGAUAAAAUGGGUAAAGUGCACAAAAAUUAAAUAAAACUAGGGUAAAGAUAGAUGUUAGUGUUGUAGUUAGAGUGCUGGAGUUAAGAGUCAAAGUCGAAGGCAAAGCAGUAAAUUUAAGUGCAAUGGCCAAGGAAGUUGAGUGAAACUGUGAAAGAGAAGUGAGAAAGAUGAUGGCAGAGGCAGAGUGUGGCAGCACAAAUGAAACAUAAGAUUUAUACCUUUAGUUUAUAAAACCUGAACCAAAUGGUACUGAUUCUUCAAUAAAUAGAAUACAUACUGCAUGAGGGGUAACCCAGUGCACGGAGCAUCCACACAAAAUAAAUCAGUUACUUCAGUUAAUUCUGAUCAAAAUAUUGGAGGGAUUAUAGAGAAAAAGAAAGUUACCUCAAGUUAUCCCUUAUCGUGUCGCUCUCUAAUAAGGGAAAAAUAUAUUUAUACUAAAAAAAACUAUUAUUUAUCAUAUGUUAUAAACAAUAUGGGUGUUAGGGGAAAUUUUAUAACUAUAUUAA